GGAGCAAGUAGUGUUUCAUGAUCCUCUCUUCCCAUUCAAUGGGUUGUUCUUCAUGGCAUGUUGGGGUACCACUGUAAGGUCCCAUGAAGAAGAAAGCGAAAUGAGAAAACUUGGUUUCUUGCAAAAUCUUAGAUCUUGAAACCCUAUGUGUUAUUAUAUAUGAUGCAAGUUGCAAAGAAGUUAGUUAUAUCUAAUCUUGUUCAAUCAAAAUUAUUUUGAUUUAAAAUCAUAAAAAU
rnacentral:lncRNA from 1 species